rnacentral:rRNA from 1 species
UAAGCGACUAAGCGUACACGGUGGAUGCCCUGGCAGUCAGAGGCGAUGAAGGACGUGCUAAUCUGCGAUAAGCGUCGGUAAGGUGAUAUGAACCGUUAUAACCGGCGAUUUCCGAAUGGGGAAACCCAGUGUGAUUCGUCACACUAUCAUUAACUGAAUCCAUAGGUUAAUGAGGCGAACCGGGGGAACUGAAACAUCUAAGUACCCCGAGGAAAAGAAAUCAACCGAGAUUCCCCCAGUAGCGGCGAGCGAACGGGGAGCAGCCCAGAGCCUGAAUCAGUGUGUGUGUUAGUGGAAGCGUCUGGAAAGGCGCGCGAUACAGGGUGACAGCCCCGUACACAAAAAUGCACAUGCUGUGAGCUCGAUGAGUAGGGCGGGACACGUGGUAUCCUGUCUGAAUAUGGGGGGACCAUCCUCCAAGGCUAAAUACUCCUGACUGACCGAUAGUGAACCAGUACCGUGAGGGAAAGGCGAAAAGAACCCCGGCGAGGGGAGUGAAAAAGAACCUGAAACCGUGUACGUACAAGCAGUGGGAGCACGCUUAGGCGUGUGACUGCGUACCUUUUGUAUAAUGGGUCAGCGACUUAUAUUCUGUAGCAAGGUUAACCGAAUAGGGGAGCCGAAGGGAAACCGAGUCUUAACUGGGCGUUAAGUUGCAGGGUAUAGACCCGAAACCCGGUGAUCUAGCCAUGGGCAGGUUGAAGGUUGGGUAACACUAACUGGAGGACCGAACCGACUAAUGUUGAAAAAUUAGCGGAUGACUUGUGGCUGGGGGUGAAAGGCCAAUCAAACCGGGAGAUAGCUGGUUCUCCCCGAAAGCUAUUUAGGUAGCGCCUCGUGAAUUCAUCUCCGGGGGUAGAGCACUGUUUCGGCAAGGGGGUCAUCCCGACUUACCAACCCGAUGCAAACUGCGAAUACCGGAGAAUGUUAUCACGGGAGACACACGGCGGGUGCUAACGUCCGUCGUGAAGAGGGAAACAACCCAGACCGCCAGCUAAGGUCCCAAAGUCAUGGUUAAGUGGGAAACGAUGUGGGAAGGCCCAGACAGCCAGGAUGUUGGCUUAGAAGCAGCCAUCAUUUAAAGAAAGCGUAAUAGCUCACUGGUCGAGUCGGCCUGCGCGGAAGAUGUAACGGGGCUAAACCAUGCACCGAAGCUGCGGCAGCGACGCUGAUGCGUUGUUGGGUAGGGGAGCGUUCUGUAAGCCUGUGAAGGUGUGCUGUGAGGCAUGCUGGAGGUAUCAGAAGUGCGAAUGCUGACAUAAGUAACGAUAAAGCGGGUGAAAAGCCCGCUCGCCGGAAGACCAAGGGUUCCUGUCCAACGUUAAUCGGGGCAGGGUGAGUCGACCCCUAAGGCGAGGCCGAAAGGCGUAGUCGAUGGGAAACAGGUUAAUAUUCCUGUACUUGGUGUUACUGCGAAGGGGGGACGGAGAAGGCUAUGUUGGCCGGGCGACGGUUGUCCCGGUUUAAGCGUGUAGGCUGGUUUUCCAGGCAAAUCCGGAAAACUAAGGCUGAGGCGUGAUGACGAGGCACUACGGUGCUGAAGCAACAAAUGCCCUGCUUCCAGGAAAAGCCUCUAAGCAUCAGGUAACAUCAAAUCGUACCCCAAACCGACACAGGUGGUCAGGUAGAGAAUACCAAGGCGCUUGAGAGAACUCGGGUGAAGGAACUAGGCAAAAUGGUGCCGUAACUUCGGGAGAAGGCACGCUGAUAUGUAGGUGAAGUCCCUCGCGGAUGGAGCUGAAAUCAGUCGAAGAUACCAGCUGGCUGCAACUGUUUAUUAAAAACACAGCACUGUGCAAACACGAAAGUGGACGUAUACGGUGUGACGCCUGCCCGGUGCCGGAAGGUUAAUUGAUGGGGUUAGCGCAAGCGAAGCUCUUGAUCGAAGCCCCGGUAAACGGCGGCCGUAACUAUAACGGUCCUAAGGUAGCGAAAUUCCUUGUCGGGUAAGUUCCGACCUGCACGAAUGGCGUAAUGAUGGCCAGGCUGUCUCCACCCGAGACUCAGUGAAAUUGAACUCGCUGUGAAGAUGCAGUGUACCCGCGGCAAGACGGAAAGACCCCGUGAACCUUUACUAUAGCUUGACACUGAACAUUGAGCCUUGAUGUGUAGGAUAGGUGGGAGGCUUUGAAGUGUGGACGCCAGUCUGCAUGGAGCCGACCUUGAAAUACCACCCUUUAAUGUUUGAUGUUCUAACGUUGACCCGUAAUCCGGGUUGCGGACAGUGUCUGGUGGGUAGUUUGACUGGGGCGGUCUCCUCCUAAAGAGUAACGGAGGAGCACGAAGGUUGGCUAAUCCUGGUCGGACAUCAGGAGGUUAGUGCAAUGGCAUAAGCCAGCUUGACUGCGAGCGUGACGGCGCGAGCAGGUGCGAAAGCAGGUCAUAGUGAUCCGGUGGUUCUGAAUGGAAGGGCCAUCGCUCAACGGAUAAAAGGUACUCCGGGGAUAACAGGCUGAUACCGCCCAAGAGUUCAUAUCGACGGCGGUGUUUGGCACCUCGAUGUCGGCUCAUCACAUCCUGGGGCUGAAGUAGGUCCCAAGGGUAUGGCUGUUCGCCAUUUAAAGUGGUACGCGAGCUGGGUUUAGAACGUCGUGAGACAGUUCGGUCCCUAUCUGCCGUGGGCGCUGGAGAACUGAGGGGGGCUGCUCCUAGUACGAGAGGACCGGAGUGGACGCAUCACUGGUGUUCGGGUUGUCAUGCCAAUGGCACUGCCCGGUAGCUAAAUGCGGAAGAGAUAAGUGCUGAAAGCAUCUAAGCACGAAACUUGCCCCGAGAUGAGUUCUCCCUGACUCCUUGAGAGUCCUGAAGGAACGUUGAAGACGACGACGUUGAUAGGCCGGGUGUGUAAGCGCAGCGAUGCGUUGAGCUAACCGGUACUAAUGAACCGUGAGGCUUAACCU